rnacentral:piRNA from 1 species
CAGAGCAGAUGGAGAGGAGGAGGGC